CGGAUCAGGUAGGGAUACCCGCUGAACUUAAGCAUAUCAAUAAGCGGAGGAAAAGAAACCAACAGGGAUUGCCCCAGUAACGGCGAGUGAAGCGGCAAGAGCUCAAAUUUGAAAGCUGGCUCCUUCGGGGUCCGCAUUGUAAUUUGCAGAGGAUGCUUCGGGAGCGGUCCCCAUCUAAGUGCCCUGGAACGGGACGUCAUAGAGGGUGAGAAUCCCGUAUGGGAUGGGGUGUCCGCGCCCGUGUGAAGCUCCUUCGACGAGUCGAGUUGUUUGGGAAUGCAGCUCUAAAUGGGUGGUAAAUUUCAUCUAAAGCUAAAUAUUGGCCGGAGACCGAUAGCGCACAAGUAGAGUGAUCGAAAGAUGAAAAGCACUUUGAAAAGAGAGUUAAAAAGCACGUGAAAUUGUUGAAAGGGAAGCGCUUGCGACCAGACUCGCUCGCGGGGUUCAGCCGGCAUUCGUGCCGGUGUACUUCCCCGCGGGCGGGCCAGCGUCGGUUUGGGCGGUCGGUCAAAGGCCCUCGGAAGGUAACGCCCCUAGGGGCGUCUUAUAGCCGAGGGUGCAAUGCGACCUGCCUAGACCGAGGAACGCGCUUCGGCUCGGACGCUGGCAUAAUGGUCGUAAGCGACC
rnacentral:rRNA from 1 species